UACGAAGGGGGCUAGCGUUGCUCGGAAUCACUGGGCGUAAAGGGUGCGUAGGCGGGUCUUUUAAGUCAGGGGUGAAAUCCUGGAGCUCAACUCCAGAACUGCCUUUGAUACUGAGGAUCUUGAGUUCGGGAGAGGUGAGUGGAACUGCGAGUGUAGAGGUGAAAUUCGUAGAUAUUGGGAAGAACACCAAUGGCGAAGGCAGCUCUCUGGGACGGUACUGGACGCUGAGACACGAAAGCGUGGGGAGCGAACAGG
rnacentral:rRNA from 1 species